UCCUACUUUUAUACCUCACAUUUGGGUCUUAUUCUGCCUAAAGACUUGAGUUUUCUGGGGUGGAUGUUCCGUGAGGGCCUGAAAACCCACGACUGGAAUGUGUUGGCUUCCUCUCCUGCUCCAAAUCUCUUCUCCAAACUCGGGCUUUUCAGCAGCAUUCCCUGGUUAAUCUCCAGCCUGGGGUUACUCAGGGAAACCCAGAGCUUUGGAGCCCGUUGGAUUGUCAAACAAAAGCUCAAACCAACAGCAAGUCCCAGGAAUUCACCCAAGGAGCCUCAGUCAUUGCAAAGGGAAGAACCUGCACGUGGGAGAAGAGAUUCCCACUUGGAUGACAGUUUAAUUCACAACUCGUGUGACAGGAGAGGUUCCAGCAUUGAGGAGGUCGGUUUGGGUUGAAAGGGCCCACUGGAAAGGA